CUGCGGCACGCCUAACACAUGCAAGUCGAGGGGUAACAGGGAAAAGCUUGCUUUUUUGCUGACGACCGGCGCACGGGUGCGGAACGCGUAUGGAACCUGCCCCUAUCAAGGGAAUAGCCCGUGGAAACGCGGAUUAAUGCUCUAUAGUAUUAAUUGAUUGCAUAAUYAAUUAAUUAAAGAUUUAUCGGAUAGGGAUGGCCAUGCGUAUCAUUAGCUAGUUGGUAAGGUAACGGCUUACCAAGGCAACGAUGAUUAGGGGCCCUGAGAGGGGGAUCCCCCACACUGGUACUGAGACACGGACCAGACUCCUACGGGAGGCAGCAGUGAGGAAUAUUGGACAAUGGUCGGGAGACUGAUCCAGCCAUGCCGCGUGCAGGAUGACUGCCCUAUGGGUUGUAAACUGCUUUUUUACAGGAAGAAACCUACUUACGUGUAAGUAGCUGACGGUACUGUACGAAUAAGGACCGGCUAACUCCGUGCCAGCAGCCGCGGUAAUACGGAGGGUCCGAGCGUUAUCCGGAAUCAUUGGGUUUAAAGGGUCCGUANGCGGGCCUAU
rnacentral:rRNA from 1 species